AAGUCUGCUGUUAAAGCGUGGAGCUUAACUCCAUUUCGGCAGUGGAAACUGACAGACUAGAGUGUGGUAGGGGCAGAGGGAAUUCCCGGUGUAGCGGUGAAAUGCGUAGAUAUCGGGAAGAACACCAGUGGCGAAGGCGCUCUGCUGGGCCAUAACUGACGCUCAUGGACGAAAGCCAGGGGAGCGAAAGGGAUUAGAUACCCCUGUAGUCCUGGCCGUAAACGAUGAACACUAGGUGUCGGGGGAAUCGACCCCCUCGGUGUCGUAGCCAACGCGUUAAGUGUUCCGCCUGGGGAGUACGCACGCAAGUGUGAAACUCAAAGGAAUUGACGGGGGCCCGCACAAGCGGUGGAGUAUGUGGUUUAAUUCGAUGCAACGCGAAGAACCUUACCAGGGUUUGACAUCCUGCGAAUCUCUUGGAAACGAGAGAGUGCCUUCGGGAGCGCAGUGACAGGUGGUGCAUGGCUGUCGUCAGCUCGUGUCGUGAGAUGUUGGGUUAAGUCCCGCAACGAGCGCAACCCACGUCGUUAGUUGCCAGCAUUUAGUUGGGCACUCUAGCGAGACCGCCGGUGAUAAACCGGAGGAAGGUGUGGAUGACGUCAAGUCAUCAUGCCCCUUACAUCCUGGGCUACACACGUACUACAAUGCUACGGACAAAGGGCAGCAAACUCGCGAGAGCUAGCAAAUCCCAUAAACCGUGGCUCAGUUCAGAUCGUAGGCUGCAACUCGCCUACGUGAAGGAGGAAUCGCUAGUAAUCGCAGGUCAGCAUACUGCGGUGAAUACGUUCCCGGGCCUUGUACACACCGCCCGUCACACCAUGGAAGUUGGCCACGCCCGAAGCCGUUACUCCAACCCUUGUGGAGGAGGACGUCGAAGGUGGGGCUGAUGACUGGGGUGAAGUCGUAACAAGGUAGCCGUA
rnacentral:rRNA from 1 species